rnacentral:misc_RNA from 1 species
UAACUUCUGCAAGCAUUCCUCCUGAUAAUACACAUAACAAAUAGAAAAAAAUAACUGAAUUGACACAAUUUGUAAAUCACAACCUUUAGAAGAAAGGAUCUGCUAGCAUUCCCCUUGGCAAUCCACAUAAGAAAUAGAAACAAUAAUUGAAUUGACACAAUUUUCAAAUCACAACUCUAGAAGAAAGAAGAUACUGGCAAAGGAUAAUGUAAAGAUAGAAGGGUGUAGCUUCAAUAAUUCUCAUGCAACACAAUGAGCCAAGAAGUUGCGAGAGAGAGAGCGAGAGAGAGAG